rnacentral:tRNA from 1 species
GGGCCCUUAGCUCAGUUGGUUAGAGCAGAGGACUCAUAAUCCUUUGGUCGCUGGUUCAAGUCCAGCAGGGCCCA